rnacentral:rRNA from 1 species
AUUGAACGCUGGCGGCAUGCUUUACACAUGCAAGUCGAACGGUAACAGGCCUUCGGGUGCUGACGAGUGGCGCACGGGUGAGUAAUGCAUCGGAACGUACCCAGAGGUGGGGGAUAACGCAGCGAAAGCUGUGCUAAUACCGCAUGUGAUCUGAGGAUGAAAGCGGGGGACCGAGCAGCAAUGUUUGGCCUCGCGCCUUUGGAGCGGCCGAUGUCGGAUUAGCUAGUUGGUGGGGUAAAGGCCUACCAAGGCGACGAUCCGUAGCUGGUCUGAGAGGACGACCGGCCACACUGGGACGGAGACACGGCCCAGACUCCUACGGGAGGCAGCAGUGGGGAAUGUUGGACAAUGGGCGCAAGCCUGAUCCAGCAAUGCCGCGUGCGGGAAGAAGGCCUUCGGGUUGUAAACCGCUUUUGGCAGGAACGAAACGGUGUCCGCUAAUACCGGGCGCUAAUGACGGUACCUGCAGAAUAAGCACCGGCUAACUACGUG